rnacentral:lncRNA from 1 species
AGGGUCGUUUGAGCCCAGGAGUUUCAGGUUGUAGUGAGCCAUGAUCAUGCCACUGCACUCCAGCCUGGCUGACAAAGUGUCUAAAAAAAAUGUGGUGCUAAGUACUUGGGCAGACCUAGGUGAUGUUCUCCACCCUCGUACUGGGACCUACAUCUGUACCAUUUCUUAAGGCGUUAAAGAGUGCAGGACGCAACCAGACAACUUGGUCAGCCCUCCAUCACACCUGCUCUCUGUUCUUUUAUUUACCACAUUCAUACAUGCUCAUUUUUAAAAGUCAAUCCAGAAAUGUCCAUGCUAAAUAAACAAAAGACGCUGCCCUGCCCCUUCCUCAACCAAUUUCAUUCCCCUCCCUCACAAAAAAUUACUGCGGGCAGCUUGGCAUGCCCUGUGUAAACACACACCCACACGCACAGACACCAUGUAUGUGUCUGUGCCAUUGUCAUGUGUUUUGAGCUGUUUCCCAGCACUCUGUGUGGUGACCUAAUGAGGCUCUCCAUCCUCGUCGGCGCACAUGGAACCCCCUCGUUCUCACUGAACAGCCUCAGGCUCCUUCACACGCUGCGUCUUCUUUACAGCCUGCCAGUUAAACCCAAUGUUUUUACCUUGGAAAAUGUCACGGGCUGUUCUCCAGAAGCAGCAGUGAGCUGGUUCAUUGACGUUUGGUGACUUGUUCAGUUGUGCUCCUCACAUUCCAUUACUGCCACACCUACAGACACGUUGGUGUUUCACAAAAAGGCAAAUUCCAAAAGGCGACUGGGAGGAGCUUGCUAGCCGAGGCUCUUCUGCAGAGUGUUUUUUGGUCUUAAUGCUUCUGAAAUGCAUUUUAAAAUAAGCCAAACUGGUCAUGUGGCACCUGUGAUAUUAUCUAGAAAAGUGUGACUUGAGGGAAUUUCUCCAGAAUCAAAGAUGUCUGAACGUGUCUGCAUGAACAGAACCCAGGACGCUCCUUACUAAGCAGGCUCUGCAGAACAAACGCAAGCCAGGAGGAAAAGAGGAAAACCACCUGGUUACCAUGAUUCUACUGUCUGCUUCUAUGAGUUAUACCUGACACUAAGACUCUUAGGAAAAAAAAAAAAAAAAAGACAGAGAAAAAGCUUCCUGACUUUGGCCUUGGCAAUAAUUUUCUAAGUAUGACCACGAAAGCACAGGCAACAAAAGCAAAGAUAGGCAAAUUGGAUUUCAUCAAACUAUAAAGGCUCUGUACAGCAAAGGAAACAACCAACGAAAGGAAAAUGCAACCUACAGAAUGGGAGAAGAUAUUUGAAAAUCAUAUAUUUGAUAGAAGAUUAAUAUUCAUAGUAUCUGAGGAACUUUUACAACUCAAUAGCAGAAAAACAAAAUAACCAGAUUGAAAACCGGGCAAAGAAAUGGAAUACGCAUUUCUCCAAAGAAGACAUACAAAUGGCCAGCAUGUAUAUGAAACAGUUGAUAUCACACUCAUCAUCAGGGAAAUACAAAUCAGAACUCAGAACCAUGAUGAAAUUUAUUUCACAUCCCUUAGAGUGACUAUUUCAUAUGUGUGCGUGUGUUUAUGUGGGUGCGUAUAUAUAGGUGUGUGUGUAUAUAUAUAUAUACACAUAGAUACAUAUAUAUAAGUAAAAAAAUGUUGGCGAAGAUGUGGAGAAAUUGGAACUCUUGUACACUGUUGGUAGGAAUGGAAAAUGGUACAAGCAUUAUGGAAAACAGCAUGGAGUUUCCUCAAAAAAUUAAAAAUAGAACUGCCAUGUGACCCAGCAAUCCCACUACUGGGUAUAUAUGCAAAGGAAUUGAAAUCAGCAUGUUGAAGAGAUACCUUCUCUCCUGUGUUUAUCGCAGCGUUAUUCACAACAGCCAAGAUAUGGAAUCAUGUCUUUUGAUGGAUGAAUGGAUAAAGAAAAUGUAGUAUUUAAAUAUAAUGGAAUAUUAUCUAGUUUUAAAAAAAGAAGAAGAAUCUGCCAUUUGUGACAACACCAAUGAUCCUAGAAGACAUUAUGCUAAGUGAAAUAGGGCAGACACAGAAGAACAAAUACUACAGGUUCUCGCUUAUAUGAAAAAGACAUUUGCUUUUCAAAAAAGAUCUUGAGAUUGUUAUUUAAUAGCCCAAGAGUAACUUAAGAUUAAUCAUUGCAACUUGGCCCCGUUCUGGGGAAAAGGCAUUUAUUUGAAGUUAUUGUGUAGAUAACCAAUGUCAUUUGAUGGUUUUGAGUGAUUUAUAAUCCUGGGGAUUUCCGUUCUCCUCUGAUUUGAAACAACAAGCAUAUUCAGGAGACUUUGCCCCAUUCUGACUGUUUCUAUCACAGCUAUGGUGCCUGGGUAUUCUACCUUUCCAACACCAGCCUCUCGCUGCGUGUGUGAGAGAAAGAGAUCAAAGCAGGAACAACAAAAUCCAGAUGCAAAUUUACUACAUAAAUAAAUGCUUUAAUAGUCUGAAAAUGUUUGUGACCUUUUAUUUUUUAAAACAUCUGCUCCUGCAUUAGUCAUGCUCUCUUCCAGUAAUAAUUAGCGAGUGUAUUUAUAUAUAUCACUCAGGGCGAGUUCUUGUGAUUUUUAUGUGUCUAGUAGGGCUUUCCAUCACAGCCCAGGAAGAAGGCCCCUUGAGAAGUUCUCCCUCUGGUCCACCAGCACCCCUUUCUCCUUUCCCAAAC